GAUGAACGCUGGCGGCGUGCCUAAUACAUGCAAGUCGAGCGAAUGGAUUAAGAGCUUGCUCUUAUGAAGUUAGCGGCGGACGGGUGAGUAACACGUGGGUAACCUGCCCAUAAGACUGGGAUAACUCCGGGAAACCGGGGCUAAUACCGGAUAACAUUUUGAACCGCAUGGUUCGAAAUUGAAAGGCGGCUUCGGCUGUCACUUAUGGAUGGACCCGCGUCGCAUUAGCUAGUUGGUGAGGUAACGGCUCACCAAGGCAACGAUGCGUAGCCGACCUGAGAGGGUGGUCGGCCACACUGGGACUGCGACCCGGCCCAGACUCCUACGGGAGGCAGCAGUAGGGAGUCUUCCGCAAUGGACGAAAGUCUGACGGAGCAACGCCGCGUGAGUGAUGAAGGCUUUCGGGUCGUAAAACUCUGUUGUUAGGGAAGAACAAGUGCUAGUUGAAUAAGCUGGCACCUUGACUGUACCUAACCAGAAAGCCACGGCUAACUACGUGCCAGCCGCCGCAGUAA
rnacentral:rRNA from 1 species